AACUAGCGGAGACCAGAGACCACUUUAAAAAACGGGACGUACCGAAAAGUCAUCAGAGUAGGAUUCUA
rfam:Bacteroidetes bacterium GWF2_33_16 gwf2_scaffold_658, whole genome shotgun sequence.